UACGUAGGUGGCAAGCGUUGUCCGGAUUUACUGGGCGUAAAGGGCUUGUAGGCGGUUUGUUAAGUCUGGUGUGAAAUCUCCCGGCUCAACCGGGAGGGGUCAUCGGAUACUGGCAGACUUGAGACGGGUAGAGGAAAGCAGAAUUCCCGGUGUAGCGGUGAAAUGCGUAGAUAUCGGGAGGAAUACCAGUGGCGAAGGCAGCUUCUUGGUCCACAUCUGACGUUGAGGCACGAAAGCGUGGGGAGCAAACAGG
rnacentral:rRNA from 1 species